rnacentral:rRNA from 2 species
CACCCGAUCCCAUUCCGAACUCGGAAGUUAAGCCCGCCAUCGCCGAAAGUACUGCGGAGUCAGUCCGUGGGAGGAUAGGGCGUCGCGCUCG